CUCCAGUCCCUCUCACUCCACCUCUAGGGAGGAUGAUAAACAUCAAAGAUAAUAUUACAUUCUUGAGAUCACAUCACGUUGAUCAGCCCAUCAGGAGAUGGAGCUCUUCUGAGAGCAGAGGGGAUACCAUUUCACCCCAAUUCAUCCAUUUUGUUCUAUCUCUUCCUCAGGGUGACUAAGGUGUCAGCCCUUCCCUGGGCUUCAGUGUGCCAUGAUAUGUGGCCCGGACUCCCAACCUGUGCAAAGCCCCAUCAGGAUCUGGAUUCCCCUGAGGACGAAGAUCCAGGGCUUCAUCACCUUAUUUCCAAGGGAUGGUUCUCAGAGUCAUUGCUGCCAACUUUAACUCUUCACUCAUCCUGUUUCCGUACCAUGUCUUGAAGUAUCUUGGAUUUUCCCUCCAGCAGACGAUCAGCAGCAGCACUGAACAUGCUUCAAGGGCUGGAAACAAGCUGUCUUAGUCAAAGGGUCAUAUUUAACAUUUUCAAUGCCGAUGGGUGAAUCCUGAGCCGCAGGAUGGGCUCCCACUUCUCCCAGGCCUGUCCUCAUCCCGGCAAUGCCAGGAG